rnacentral:rRNA from 1 species
AUUGAACGCUGGCGGCAGGCCUAACACAUGCAAGUCGAGCGGAUGAGGGGAGCUUGCUCCUUGAUUCAGCGGCGGACGGGUGAGUAAUGCCUAGGAAUCUGCCUGGUAGUGGGGGAUAACGUUCCGAAAGGAACGCUAAUACCGCAUACGUCCUACGGGAGAAAGCAGGGGACCUUCGGGCCUUGCGCUAUCAGAUGAGCCUAGGUCGGAUUAGCUAGUUGGUGAGGUAAUGGCUCACCAAGGCUACGAUCCGUAACUGGUCUGAGAGGAUGAUCAGUGACACUGGAACAGAGACACGGUCCAGACUCCUACGGGAGGCAGCAGUGGAGAAUAUUGGACAAUGGGCGAAAGCCUGAUCCAGCCAUGCCGCGUGUGUGAAGAAGGUCUUCGGAUUGUAAAGCACUUUAAGUUGGGAGGAAGGGCAGUAAGUUAAUACCUUGCUGUUUUGACGUUACCAACAGAAUAAGCACCGGCUAACUUCGUGCCAGCAGCCGCCGUAA